GAACGCUGUCGCUUUGGAGAACAAAAUUAUAAAAUUUAACAAACCUAUAUACACAUAUUGGAUUUGCUGUAUUAGAUAUUAGCAAAACGUUAAUGUAUGAUUACCACUAUAAUGACAUGCAGAAACAUUAUGGAGAGAAGAUAAAGCUUAUGUACACUGACACAGAUUCACUAGUGUAUCAUGUUCAGACAGAAGAUUUUUCAGUCGCGUUAUAUACAUUACACCGGGAACACGUAUUAGUGACGCUCCGUAGUUUUUCGCUCAGUGCUAAGUGAAGGGCUGUUCGUUUUUUGUGCGGUUUGGCCAAGAGCUACCUACGACUCUCGUGGUCAUUUUGGUGCAUCCCGCGCGGAUAUUGGCUCAACCUGUGCGUAGUUCUGACGAUUCAAGUUUCAGUAAUUAAGCGACGGCGACGCGCGCCGCGCCCUUGUACACAACCGGUUUGUUUACAUGGCCGCCGUUAGUUUUUAACACUGCCGCCGGGCUACCUCUAGGCCGCCCGAUACCACUAUACUGAUUUUUUUUUUUUGCGAUAACUCGACUUUGACUGGCACUACGGCUUAGGUCGUAAGCUUUUUAAAUUCGUGUUGUCUGUAGGAAUCGAUUGGUAGUGGUCCCCACCGGAUUGGACAAAAACUCAGGAACUUCGAAAAAGUACGAAGCUAUAUUAUAUCCCGAUUCCACAGCGACAGGAGAAACGCAGUG